rnacentral:rRNA from 1 species
GACGAACGCUGGCGGCGUGCAUAACACAUGCAAGUCGAACGAUGAAGCCGGAGCUUGCUCUGGUGAAUUAGUGGCGAACGGGUGAGUAACACGUGAGUAACCUGCCCUUGACUCUGGGAUAACUGCGGGAAACUGUAGCUAAUACCGGAUACGACCCUCGGAGGCAUCUCCUGGGGGUGGAAAGAAUUUCGGUCAAGGAUGGACUCGCGGCCUAUCAGGUAGUUGGUGAGGUAAAGGCGCACCAAGGCGACGACGGGUAGCCGGCCUGAGAGGGUGACCGGCCACACUGGGACUGAGACACGGCCCAGACUCCUACGGGAGGCAGCAGUGGGGAAUAUUGCACAAUGGGCGCAAGCCUGAUGCAGCAACGCCGCGUGAGGGAUGACGGCCUUCGGGUUGUAAACCUCUUUCAGCAGGGAAUAAGCGAAAGUGAAGGUACCUGCAGAAGAAGCACCGGCUAACUAUGUGCCAGCAGCCGCAGUAA